UCCCUAGUGGCUCAGCUAGUAAAGAAUCCACCUGCAAUGUGGGAGACCUGGGUUCGAUCCCUGGAUUGGGAA
rfam:Ovis aries breed Texel chromosome 3, whole genome shotgun sequence.